rnacentral:lncRNA from 1 species
UGUAAGUCCACGUCCUCUUGCCCCAUUUGGCGAUAAUCCUCUAGCAUCAGCUUGAGAACUGGAUGGAGGAGGUGGUGGAGCACCAGGUGCUCUAGGUGGGGCUGGUGGCAGAGGUGUACGUGCUCCAGGAGGAGGCGGUGGAGGAGGUGUACGUCCUCCAGGAGGAGGCGGUGGCGGAGGGGCACUACCACGUGGACCUGGAGGAGGGGGUGGAGGAGGAGCACUACCACGUGGACCUGGAGGAGGGGGUGGAGGAGGAGCACUACCACGUGGACCUGGAGGAGGGGGUGGAAGUGGGACAUUACCUCGUGAGCCAGGAGGAGGCGGUGGAGGAGGGGCACCACCACGUAGAACUGGAGGAGGGGGUGGUGGUGGGGCACUGACUCGUGAGCCAGGAGGAGGUGGAGGACCUGGCGGAGGUGGUGGAGGAGGAGCACCACUACGUGGGCCAAGAUGCGGUGGUGGAGGUGGUGGAGGAGGAGCACCACUACAUGGACCAAGUACAGGAGGAGGAGGAGGAGGUGGUGGUGGUGG